AUUGAACGCUGGCGGCAUGCCUUACACAUGCAAGUCGAACGCGAAAGGGGGGCAACUCCUGAGUAGCGUGGCGCACGGGUGAGUAAUGCAUCGGACCGUGUCCUGUAGCGGGGGAUAACCUAGCGAAAGCUAGGCUAAUACCGCAUACGUCCUACGGGAGAAAGUGGGGGAUCGUAAGACCUCACACUAUAGGAGCGGCCGAUGCCGGAUUAGCUAGUUGGUGGGGUAAAAGCCUACCAAGGCGACGAUCCGUAGCUGGUCUGAGAGGAUGAUCAGCCACACUGGGACUGAGACACGGCCCAGACUCCUACGGGAGGCAGCAGUGGGGAAUUUUGGACAAUGGGGGAAACCCUGAUCCAGCCAUGCCGCGUGAGUGAAGAAGGCCUUCGGGUUGUAAAGCUCUUUCGGCCGGGACGAAAUCGCACGCGUGAAUAUCGCGUGUGGAUGACGGUACCGGAAGAAGAAGGACCGGCUAACUACGUGCCAGCAGCCGCAGUAA
rnacentral:rRNA from 1 species